GAUGAACGCUGGCGGCGUGCCUAAUACAUGCAAGUCGAGCAAACAGAUGAGGAGCUUGCUCCUCUGACGUUAGCGGCGGACGGGUGAGUAACACGUGGAUAACCUACCUAUAAGACUGGGAUAACUUCGGGAAACCGGAGCUAAUACCGGAUAAUAUAUUGAACCGCAUGGUUCAAUAGUGAAAGACGGUUUUGCUGUCACUUAUAGAUGGAUCCGCGCCGCAUUAGCUAGUUGGUAAGGUAACGGCUUACCAAGGCAACGAUGCGUAGCCGACCUGAGAGGGCGAUCGGCCACACUGGAACUGAGACACGGUCCAGACUCCUACGGGAGGCAGCAGUAGGGAAUCUUCCGCAAUGGGCGAAAGCCUGACGGAGCAACGCCGCGUGAGUGAUGAAGGUCUUCGGAUCGUAAAACUCUGUUAUUAGGGAAGAACAAAUGUGUAAGUAACUAUGCACGUCUUGACGGUACCUAAUCAGAAAGCCACGGCUAACUACGUG
rnacentral:rRNA from 1 species